rnacentral:lncRNA from 1 species
GUGGUUCCAUGAUACUACUCUAUGCAAAGCCUUAAAAAUUCACACCAUUACUACGGAAACACCCAUCUUGGAAUCAAUGCUACGAAAGAUUUUAAUUUUUCACUUUGUUAGUCCUCUCUAUUAUAAAUUGUUAUACAUCAAUCCCAAGGCUAAACAAAAACAAUCAAAUCAAUUAGAAGAAGUCUUUCAACAUGACACAACAAUGCAACAAAGAAUUCCAGUUCCUUCUUCUCUGUAUUAAUACACUAAUACCAGUUUAACACGAGGAUAUAUAAAAAAUAAUUCAUUACUCUACUGUCCUCAAUUUUUACCAGCAGGUAAACAACAGAUUAAUUAAUAAGUUCAUUAAAAUUAAAAAAAUAAAAAAAUGAAAAGAAACCACCUGUUCUAUGACAAACAAACAUAAUUUGCCCAAAGAAAUCACUGUAUAACACAUAACAAUACAAUCAAAGCUCUUAAUUCAUUCUUCUCCUUAUCAAUGCACCGAUACCGUUUUACAUGUGGAUUCACAAAAGCAUCAUCACUCUCUACUCCCCACCAUUUUCAGCAAAUAAACCUCGAAUUAAUUGACACAUUCAUUGAUCCGAUAACAAUAAGAUUGGCAGAUUAGCAUAAAUUAACCUCAAACCUUCCCAACAGACUGACAAUAACUCAAAUCCCAAAAUGUGAGAAGCAGAACAGCAUUCGAGCUAAAAAUGUAUCAAAACAUAAAGAGGCUCAAAAACUCAUGCACCUAUGGAGGAAAAAUUGAAGAUUUGAAGUCCUAGUGACCUAAAUAACAAUGAUGGACUUCUAACUAAAAUUGGGCUCCAAAUAAAACUAAUUGAGUAAACUGCAACCUUAUGGAACUGAAAUAUUCAAAUGCAGAGCUGACAGAAUAGUUACAAAUAAUGAGAAUAUUAGUUCUUUUUAGUUAACGCAAAAAAAAAAAAUAUAUGCAAGCGAUAAGUGAACGUAAGUGUUCGAUAAUUUGCGUGAGAGAAGAAAUUUAGCUAGAAGAAUUCUUCAAAGACGAAAAAGAAAUCUUGAAAGACGAAAGAGAGAGGCAGACAUAUGAGUUACAAGUUGGGAUUUGGAUUCAAUGCUCAGCUGACUUUCCCAAUCUCAUCAAACUCUUGCCCUUCUUUUUCUUACGUUUCUUUCUUUGCGUUUUUGUUUUUUAAAUUUUAAAAUAUUUUGGGCAGCUAGUUUUUUUUUUUUUCUUACUUCCAAUCUCAUGAACACACGACCAUCACAAAACCUUGAUUUAUUUGGAGAAAAUAAAAGUUAAAAGUCUCCUAAUUAAAAAAAAAAAAAGAUUAGAGAAAUAGAGAAGAAAAAAUAAAAAUAAAUCAAGAUUUCACUAUAAAAAUCGAAUCCAGUAAAUCUAAAUUAGAUUCCUUGCAUAUAUAACAAAUUUAAUUUCCUCAUCAAUCGCUUCCAAUAAUUAAAACCAAAAAAAAAAAUAUUUAUAUUUCUUUAUAUACGCCAUUGUUGUUGAAACUUUGAGCUUGAAUAGAGUUGUUGUGAAUUUGUCAAAGAAAAUGAGGGGGAAAGGAAAACGAGAGAAAAAAAGACAAAAAGAAAUAAGUAAGAUGAAAAAAAAAAGUCUGUUAAUAAAGUGCAUUUGAGUUAAUAAUUUAAAAAAAAAAAUUGCCAUUGAGUUAAUUGCUGGCAGUUGAGGCUUGUUAAUAAAAAACAAAUUACAUUCAAUUAAGCAUGGGAU